rnacentral:rRNA from 1 species
UACGGGGGGUGCGAGCGUUAUCCGGAAUUACUGGGUUUAAAGGGUGCGUAGGCGGCCAGGUAAGUCAGGAGUGAAAGUUUGCGGCUCAACCGUAAAAUUGCUUUUGAUACUGCCAGGCUAGAAUUAGGAUGAGGUCAGCGGAAUGUGGCAUGUAGCGGUGAAAUGCAUAGAUAUGCCAUAGAACACCAAUUGCGAAGGCAGCUGGCUAGACCUGGAUUGACGCUGAGGCACGAAAGCGUGGGGAGCGAACAGG